rnacentral:rRNA from 1 species
CCUCGGGGGGCUGCAGUGGGGAAUAUUGGACAAUGGGCGAAAGCCUGAUCCAGCCAUGCCGCGUGUGUGAAGAAGGCCUUCGGGUUGUAAAGCACUUUCAGUGGGGAAGAAAGCCUUGGGGCUAAUACCCUCGAGGAAGGACAUCACCCACAGAAGAAGCACCGGCUAACUCCGUGCCAGCAGCCGCGGUAUACGGAGGGUGCGAGCGUUAAUCGGAAUUACUGGGCGUAAAGCGCGCGUAGGCGGUCUGAUAAGCCGGUUGUGAAAGCCCCGGGCUCAACCUGGGAACGGCAUCCGGAACUGUCAGGCUAGAGUGCAGGAGAGGAAGGUAGAAUUCCCGGUGUAGCGGUGAAAUGCGUAGAGAUCGGGAGGAAUACCAGUGGCGAAGGCGGCCUUCUGGACUGACACUGACGCUGAGGUGCGAAAGCGUGGGUAGCAAACAGGAUUAGAUACCCGAGUAGC